rnacentral:rRNA from 1 species
UAGUCCACGCCCUAAACGAUGAGUACUAAGUGUUACCAUUAGGUAGUGCUGAAGUUAACGCAUUAAGUACUCCGCCUGAGUAGUACGUACGCAAGUAUGAAACUUAAAGGAAUUGACGGGAGCCCGCACAAGCGGUGGAGCAUGUUGUUUAAUUCGAAGAUACGCGAAGAACCUUACCAGGUCUUGACAUCGUUAGCAAAGCUAUAGAGAUAUAGUGGAGGUUAGCUAAUAGAC